rnacentral:tRNA from 1 species
GGGGGCAUAGCUCAGUUGGUUAGAGCGCUUGCUCGACAAGCAAGAGGUCACAGGUUCGAGUCCCGUUGUCCCCACCA